CAGAUAAAUGCUGUGAAUCUGUUUCAGUACAACGCUCAGUAGAAAAGCGUUGAUUCUGUUUGAUCUCUCUUUGUCUUGAUUCGUACCAGCUCCGCACUCAACCGCAAAAAAGAAACGAGUGGCGGAUCUAAGCAUGGGGAGAUGCAAGAUUGUAAUUAGGAGGAUCGAUAAUUCGACGAGCAGACAAGUGACUUUCUCAAAGCGUAGGAGCGGACUGCUGAAGAAGGCGGAAGAACUGGCGAUCCUUUGCGACGCCGAUGUUGGAGUCAUCAUCUUCUCCAGCACUAACAAACUCUACGAAUACUCCAGCUCCAGCAUGAAAACACUAAUAGAACGAUAUAAUAAAACAAAAGAGGAGCACCAUCAGCUUGGGAACUCGACUUCUGAAGUCAAGUAUUGGCAAAGGGAAGCAGCAAUGUUACGGCAGCAACUCCAGAGCUUACAUGAAAAUCAUCGGCAAAUGAUGGGUGAAGAGCUGACUGGUCUAAGCGUCAAAGAUCUGCAGAAUCUAGAAAAUCAAUUGGAGAUGAGUCUCCGUGGCAUCCGUAUGAAGAAGGACAAAAUUUUAAUGGAUGAGAUACAAGACCUAAAUAGAAAGGUAAACCUAAUUCACCAAGACAAUAUGGAACUCUAUAAGAAGGUAAAUCUAAUUCAUCAAGAAAAUCUGGAAUUACAGAAAAAGGUCUAUGGAACAAAAGAUGCCAAUGGAGCACACAUAAGCAGUCUUACAAACGGACUUAGUUUUGGAGAGGAUGCAGGCAUACCUAUCGACCUUCAGCUCAGCCAGCCACAGCCACAAGAACAUGCGGCACCAGAAAGAGCUACAAAACUAGGACUAUAGCUACGCUAGCAAAAAGACACCCUACACCAACCAGGAAGAUGUUUCUUAUUUUGCAUCAAGAAAACGGUGUAUGGUUGCUAAUUAUCUUUCAAUCGACGAGAUGUGGUAGAGUAGCGGAUUAUUCCAUACCAAAAGAAACCAGCUUUGUCUAGUUUGUGGUGAUUAAAACAAGCGUAUUUUUGUGAAGAGAAGACUAUGCAAAACAAAAAAUAAUUGGAACCGCACCAGCAUGCACACUUCAUUUUCCAGAAAUCUUAAGGUGACAGAAAGAAAUUGUUGGUCCUCUGAGAAUCGAUCCUGGAACCUUCUCUCCAGAAGGAACAUUAGAGAAGCUGAAAUUGAAAAGUGGGUUAAUCA